AUUGAACGCUGGCGGCAUGCUUUACACAUGCAAGUCGAACGGUAACAGGCCGCAAGGUGCUGACGAGUGGCGAACGGGUGAGUAAUGCAUCGGAACGUGCCCAGUCGUGGAGGAUAACGCAGCGAAAGCUGCGCUAAUACCGCAUACGAUCUAUGGAUGAAAGCGGGGACCGUAAGGCCUCGCGCGAUUGGAGCGGCCGAUGUCAGAUUAGGUAGUUGGUGGGGUAAAGGCUCAACAAGCCAACGAUCUGUAGCUGGUCUGAGAGGACGACCAGCCACACUGGGACUGAGACACGGCCCAGACUCCUACGGGAGGCAGCAGUGGGGAAUUUUGGACAAUGGGCGCAAGCCUGAUCCAGCAAUGCCGCGUGCAGGAAGAAGGCCUUCGGGUUGUAAACUGCUUUUGUACGGAACGAAACGGUCCUGGUUAAUACCCGGGGCUAAUGACGGUACCGUAAGAAUAAGCACCGGCCAACUACGUGCCAGCCGCCGCAGUAA
rnacentral:rRNA from 1 species